GAAGAGGAAGAGGCGGAGGCGGAGGCCAUGCCAGAGGUAGAGGUAGAGGCCGAGGAGGAGGAAGAGGAAGAGGAAGACCUGAAGCAGGGGGAGAACAGGUUCAAAGAAGAAGACGACCAAAUUUAUCUAAUGAUAUUCGAGCAACACUAGUGGACCAUGUGGUGAACCAUGGAUUGACACUGAAGGAGGCUGGACUAAGAGUUCAGCCAAAUCUCAGCAGAUACAGUAUACGGUGGCAUCAGUCAUUAGGACAUUUCGACAAGAAAACAGGAUUGAGGGUCGAGAACGACAAGGAGGAAGGGGGCCCAUAUUUACACAAGAUCAAGAGAGAGAGAUAAUAAACAUGGUUUUGGCAAAUAAUGCUAUAACGCUCAGAGAAAUUCAAGCCAACAUUAUCGAUGACCAGGCCAUUUUCAAUAAUGUUGAUCAGGUCUCUCAGUCAACAGUGGCACGCAUCCUGAAAAGACAUCAGGUUGAAAUGAAACAACUAUAUCGAGUGCCUUUUGAACGGAACUCAGAGAGGGUCAAACAGCUGCGGCAUGAGUAUGUGGAGAGAGUUUUACAGAUGGAUGCUGAAGCAAUCCCACAUGAAUUCAUGAUGAGGCAGGAUUCAACCUGUCAAAGACAAGAAGGAGAGGCAGAAAUAUAAUUGGCCACAGGGCUAUCAUCAAUGUCCCAGGGCAACGUGGGGGUAACAUCACCCUUUGUGCUGCCAUUACUCAGAAUGGGGUCCUCCUCCGUCAUGCCAACAUGGGUCCUUAC